rnacentral:misc_RNA from 1 species
UUAAGUUCAGCGGGUAGUCCUACCUGAUUUGAGGCCAGAUGUCAAGAAUAUACACACAAGUGCGUAUGGGGUAUAGAAAGCAGACUAUUGUCAAAGUCCUGGCCACAAGCAAACUUGUGUCCUAAGCGAAAUACUUAUUACGCCUAGGGGAACCAGUGCAAAGACUAAUCCAGCUCACAUUUUUAAGGCAAGUCAAUUCA